rnacentral:rRNA from 1 species
GACGAACGCUGGCGGCGUGCUUAACACAUGCAAGUCGAACGGAAAGGCCCUGCGUUUGUGGGGUGCUCGAUUGGCGAACGCGUGAGUAACACGUGAGUAACCUGCCCCUGACUUUGGGAUAACUUCACGAAACAGGGGCGAAUAUCGCAGAGGAUAUCUUGCUGCACGGGGGGCGUUGGAAAGAGUCGGCGGUUGGGGAUGGACUCGCUGCUUAUCAGCUUGUUGGUGUGGUAGUGGCGUACCAAGGCUUUGACGGGUAGCCGGCCUGAGAGGGUGACCGGCCACAUUGGGACUGAGAUACGGCCCAGACUCCUACGGGAGGCAGCAGUGGGGAAUAUUGCACAAUGGGCGGAAGCCUGAUGCAGCAACGCCGCGUGCGGGAUGACGGCCUUCGGGUUGUAAACCGCUUUCGAAUGUGCCGAAGAGUGCGUGACGGUAAUGGGUCAAGAAGCACCGGCUAACUACGUG